ACGACCUUACUUGAACAGGAUCUGUUCUAUAGGCUCGUACAACCGUAUCCUUGAUUGUAAAGGAGACGGGUAACUCAGUCUGGUUGAUGACGCCAGACCUCAGGGCCAGAGCGUGAUUGACGGCAAGGAUCUUUCAAAGAUCUCGUGCUGUAGAGGAUCGUUCUCAUGCGAUCAACCGUCGCCUGGGAUGGCCCUGAGGUGGUCUGACGGACU